UACGUAGGGUGCAAGCGUCGUCCGGAAUUAUUGGGCGUAAAGAGCUCGUAGGCGGUUUGUCGCGUCUGCUGUGAAAUCUGGGGGCUCAACCCCCAGCCUGCAGUGGGUACGGGCAGACUAGAGUGCGGUAGGGGAGAUUGGAAUUCCUGGUGUAGCGGUGGAAUGCGCAGAUAUCAGGAGGAACACCGAUGGCGAAGGCAGAUCUCUGGGCCGUAACUGACGCUGAGGAGCGAAAGCGUGGGGAGCGAACAGG
rnacentral:rRNA from 1 species